rnacentral:rRNA from 1 species
UACGGAGGGAGCGUAGCGUUAUUCGGAAUUACUGGGCGUAAAGCGCACGUAGGCGGCUUCUCAAGCGUGUGGUGAAAGUCCGGGGCUCAACCCCGGAUCGGCCGUGCGGACUGGGGAGCUCGAGUUCUGUGAGAGGCGGGUGGAAGUUCCGGGUGUAGCGGUGGAAUGGCGUAGAGAUCCGGAAGAACACCGGUGGCGAAGGCGGCCCGCUGGGCGAGUACGCUGACACUGAGGCGCGACAGCGUGGGAGCAAACAGG